GAGUUUGAUCCUGGCUCAGAUUGAACGCUGGCGGCAGGCCUAACACAUGCAAGUUGAACGGUAACAGGAAGAAGCUUGCUUCUUUGCUGACGAGUGGCGGACGGGUGAGUAAUGUCUGGGAAACUGCCUGAUGGAGGGGGAUAACUACUGGAAACGGUAGCUAAUACCGCAUAACGUCGCAAGACCAAAGAGGGGGACCUUCGGGCCUCUUGCCAUCGGAUGUGCCCAGAUGGGAUUAGCUAGUAGGUGGGGUAACGGCUCACCUAGGCGACGAUCCCUAGCUGGUCUGAGAGGAUGACCAGCCACACUGGAACUGAGACACGGUCCAGACUCCUACGGGAGGCAGCAGUGGGGAAUAUUGCACAAUGGGCGCAAGCCUGAUGCAGCCAUGCCGCGUGUAUGAAGAAGGCCUUCGGGUUGUAAAGUACUUUCAGCGGGGAGGAAGGGAGUAAAGUUAAUACCUUUGCUCAUUGACGUUACCCGCAGAAGAAGCACCGGCUAACUCCGU
rnacentral:rRNA from 1 species